ensembl:lncRNA
AGAUAAGCUGGUUGUUUCUGUGCACAGGAACCCGACUCCCUGGUGACCUGAGCAGACUGUACAUGGCCUGGAGGAAGGACACCAGGAGAGGGCAGGGCAUGAGAAACUCGCAGGGAAAGGGACAAAAAAGUGAAAGGGAUUUCUGUCCUUGACAACUGCAAGUCCUGGAUCCCUCUUCUCUUGGAGCAGCUCAGCAGAGGAGCACAAAGACAUCAGUGCUGGCAUGGCUCACCCAGCAGCACACCUCUGGAAGACUGAAUGCUGCUCAGGUAAGGCACUGCUGUAGGUUUACCACUUUCUUACACUGCUACCAUUGGCAUUUCCUGGAGGUGGCCCCUAACAGGGCAGUAGUUCUUGUAUGUUCCAGCAGUGCAGAAGCUCCUCUUUCAUUCUUUGUUCUGUGCAGUAGAUUGUAGGAGAGCAGCUUGGGAACAGCUGCAAGAGAGAAG